GAUGAACGCUAGCGGCAGGCUUAACACAUGCAAGUCGAGGGGUAUAGUAGCAAUACUAGAGACCGGCGCACGGGUGCGUAACGCGUAUGCAAUCUACCCCCGCAUUCGGAAUAACUCGUCGAAAGGUGAGCUAAUACCGGAUACGUUUAUCUUGAUGCGAAUGAUGAUAAAGAAAGGUGGCCUCUUCAUGAAAGCUACUGUGCAGGGAUGAGCUUGCGUACCAUUAGCUAGUUGGUAGGGUAAUGGCCUACCAAGGCGACGAUGGUUAGCGGGUCUGAGAGGAUGAUCCGCCACACUGGAACUGGAACACGGACCAGACUCCUACGGGAGGCUG
rnacentral:rRNA from 1 species